AAAACGGCCCUUUUCAGGGCCACCAUUUUUUGCAAGAUCGAGAUG
rfam:Tropilaelaps mercedesae isolate Wuxi-XJTLT scaffold0000023428, whole genome shotgun sequence.